rnacentral:rRNA from 1 species
UAGGGAAUCUUCCGCAAUGGGCGAAAGCCUGACGGAGCAACGCCGCGUGAGUGAUGAAGGUCUUCGGAUCGUAAAACUCCGUUAGUAGGGAAGAACAAAUGUGUAAGUAACUAUGCACGUCUUGACGGUACCUAAUCAGAAAGCCACGGCUAACUACGUGCCAGCAGCCGCGGUAAUACGUAGGUGGCAAGCGUUAUCCGGAAUUAUUGGGCGUAAAGCGCGCGUAGGCGGUUUUUUAAGUCUGAUGGGAAAGCCCACGGCUCAACCGUGGAGGGUCAUUGGAUACUGGAAAACUUGAGUGCAGAAGAGGAAAGUGGAAUUCCAUGUGUAGCGGUGAAAUGCGCAGAGAUAUGGAGGAACACCAGUGGCGAAGGCGACUUUCUGGUCUGUAACUGACGCUGAUGUGCGAAAGCGGGGGGAUCAAACAGG